rnacentral:rRNA from 1 species
UACGUAGGGUGCAAGCGUUAAUCGGAAUUACUGGGCGUAAAGCGUGCGCAGGCGGUGAUGUAAGACAGUUGUGAAAUCCCCGGGCUCAACCUGGGAACUGCAUCUGUGACUGCAUCGCUGGAGUGCGGCAGAGGGGGAUGGAAUUCCGCGUGUAGCAGUGAAAUGCGUAGAUAUGUGGAGGAACACCGAUGGCGAAGGCAGCCCCCUGGGUCAAGACUGACGCUCAUGCACGAAAGCGUGGGGAGCAAACAGG